GGACCCGCACAAGUAGUGGAGCAUGUGGUUUAAUUCGAAGAUACGCGCAGAACCUUACCAACACUUGACAUGUUCGUCGCGACUCUAAGAGAUUAGAGUUUUCGGUUCGGCCGGACGAAACACAGGUGCUGCAUGGCUGUCGUCAGCUCGUGUCGUGAGAUGUUGGGUUAAGUCCCGCAACGAGCGCAACCCUCACUUUUAGUUGCCAUCAUUAAGUUGGGCACUCUGAAAGAACUGCCAGUGAUAAGCUGGAGGAAGGUGGGGAUGACGUCAAGUCCUCAUGGCCCUUACGUGUUGGGCUACACACGUGCUACAAUGGCAAGUACAACGAGUCGCAAUACCGCGAGGUGGAGCAAAUCUCUUAAAGCUUGUCUCAGUUCGGAUAGGAGUCUGCAACUCGACUCCUUGAAGUUGGAGUC
rnacentral:rRNA from 1 species